UACCAUUAGCUAGUUGGUGAGGUAACGGCUCACCAAGGUUACGAUGGUUAGGGGGUCUUAAAGGAUGAUCCCCCACACUGGUACUGAGACACGGACCAGACUCCUACGGGAGGCAGCAGUGAGGAAUAUUGGGCAAUGGACGCAAGUCUGACCCAGCCAUGCCGCGUGCAGGAUGACUGCUCUAGUAGUUGUAAACUGCUUUUCUAUUUCAUGAACCCCUCUGACGUGUCAGGGGCUGACAGUAGAAUAGGAAUAAGCAUCGGCUAACUCCGCGCCAGCAGCCGCGGUAAUACGGAGGAUGCAAGCGUUAUCCGGAUUUACUAGGUUUAAAGGGUGCGUAGGCGGGGUAUCAAGUCAGUGGUGAAAUCCUGCAGCUCAACUGUAGAACUGCCAUUGAAACUGAUAUUCUUGAGUAUAGUUGAGGUAGGCGGAAUGUGUUAAGUAGCGGUGAAAUGCAUAGAGAUAACACAGAACACCGAUUGCGAAGGCAGCUUACUAAACUAUUACUGACGCUGAGGUACGAAAGCGUGGGGAGCGAACAGGAUUAGAUACCCUGGUAGUCCACGCCGUAAACGUUGAUCACUAGUUGUUUGCGAUACAUUGUGAGCGACUGAACAAAAGCAUUAAGUGAUCCACCUGGGGAGUACGUUGGCAACGAUGAAACUCCAAGGAAUUGACGGGGGCCCGCACAAGCGGAGGAACAUGUGGUUUAAUUCGAUGAUACGCGAGGAACCUUACCUGGGCUUAAAUGUAAGACGACUAACAGGGAAACUUGUUAUCUUUCGAGCGUCCUACAAGGUGCUGCAUGGUUGUCGUCAGCUCGUGCCGUGAGGUGUCGGGUUAAGUCCCAUAACGAGCGCAACCCUUAUCGUUAGUUGCCAGCGGGUAAUGCCGGGGACUCUAGCGAAACUGCCAUCGUCACACUUGUGAGGAAGGUGGGGAUGACGUCAAAUCAGCACGGCCCUUAUGUCCAGGGCUACACACGUGUUACAAUGGUCGAAACAAAGGGCAGCUA
rnacentral:rRNA from 1 species